UACGGAGGGGGGCUAGCGUUGUUCGGAAUUACUGGGCGUAAAGCGCGCGUAGGCGGACCUGCAAGUCGGGGGGUGAAAGCCCGAGGCUCAACCUCGGAACUGCCUUCGAUACUGCGGGUCUCGAGUCCGGGAGAGGUGAGUGGAAUUCCUAGUGUAGAGGUGAAAUUCGUAGAUAUUAGGAAGAACACCAGUGGCGAAGGCGGCUCACUGGCCCGAUACUGACGCUGAGGCACGAAAGCGUGGGGAGCAAACAGG
rnacentral:rRNA from 1 species